UCGACCACCGGCGGGAAGGGAGUAGAGGGAGGACGCAUCCUUGCGUCGAUGACCGGGGGCAAGAUCCAGAAGAAGGGGCUGCGUCGGCAGAAGCAGUAGCAGAGCGGGGAAAGGCAACACAUCCUGAAGAACCCGAUGUUGGCGGAGGCCAGCGACCACUAGAUCGGCUCCGGCAGCGGAGUGGAGCAUACCAGGGAGCUCCUCGAGGUUGCUGUGUCCGCCUUCGACAAUCGACACGAUGGUUUCGCGGUGCCCGGCACGCGAGUUGCCUCAAGGGAAAUGGUCCAGUAAGCUGGAGUUAGUGAGAGAAAAAGAGCCUGUUCCUGGUCAUCAUAGCAAAACUGAUGUUGUAGGUCGGAUCAACUUUAAGAAUGAGUAAUUCAUGUUGAUAUGGGAUCCAUAUGAAUGGCCUGAAUCAGGUCCAGCUCAUGAACAGCUCUUAACAGGGUGUAAUCUGUGGUAUCUUUUGUGUUUCCAUUGUUUACCCUGUCAUAUACCCUUCUAUCCAUUUUGCUCAACUUUAGAUUACAAAACUUCGGUAUAAUUAAGAAAGUUUGAUACUUUUGUGGUGUUGAGGUACAUGUUUAACACAUGCAUAUAUAAGAUGAAUUUCUGUGUGAUUCUGGAUCCGGGGAUGACUUUUACAACUGGAACAGUUCAUAAAUCAUGCUCAAGUGGAAAGAGGUAAUCACCAAAAACUCUUAUUGCAUCGGUAAGUAUGAAAGCUUCAACAAGUAUGAAAAUUUCUAUAGCUAUUUUCUAGAGCUUUGAGAAAAGAAACUGACGGUUCUUUUUGUUUCAAUUAUGCUUAAAUUGAGUGUUGUCAGCCCAUGCCUCCCUAAUGGUUAUUGUGUUCUAUAAAUUGCCCUAAAAGGUUUGCUACAUAUGCAUCUAUAUGUACCUUCACAUUCUGUUACAAUCUCGUUCUUUUUGGCAGUGUCUUCUGGAUAGGCUGUCUGUGUAGCUUUGGUCAUAUGUGCUUGACUCGAUCAACCUUCAUAAUUGAAAGUUUGGUCAAGUAAUGUCUUCUUGCGGAAAUUAUAGGCUUUUUCUUUUUCAGCCUUUUCAUUUGAUUACGAAGCUGAUUCUUAAUCAAAUAAGUGUAUCUACAAUCAUUUUAAUGGAAUCAGUCAAAUCUAUAUCAUUAUAAAGAAUAUCUUGAAGAUUCCUAGGAGUAGGAAAGAUUUUAGAUCUAUCAUUUCAUCUUUAUGUAAUGAGUCAUGGUUGGUGCGGACCUGUGGAUUGAGUGACAGGUCGGAUGCCUAAAGAUUAAUAAAUUAGUUCAGAGAUGAAGGUGCAGAAAUAUUACUUGACGGUCGAUGUCGGCCUUUUGGCAUCUGAUUUGUGCCUUUUUUAUCAUUGUUGCCCAUUAGUGUGGACUCCAAGAUGAACUCGAUGGGGAAAAUAAUUUUUUACUAUUCCAAGAAUUUCAUUUUAGAUGGCAUCAAUAAGAUGGUGUGCGAUAUAUGCCAAUUUUCUGUCAGCAUACCUUUUCUCUGAGUUAAUCGAUCUUUUACAAUUUAUUUAAAUGCAAGAAAGGACUCAGCUAGCUAGAGCAGAAACUAGUGCUGAUUUUUCAGGUAAGCUCACUGAGAAGAGUGAUGUUUAUGCAUUUGGAGUUAUCUGCUGGAACUUGUGAUGGGAAGAAAGCCAGUUGACAAAACAGCAGCACCAUCUCAAUGCUAAUCACUUUUGACAUGGUAGUCGGAAACACAGUGGAUCUCAAACACUGGUAUCAAGCUUGUCAUCGGGCUGAUGUAUAGUGCUCUCUGAUCUGUCAGAAUGUUCAUUGUUGAUGAAUAUAUUAUGUCAGGGUGGAGGCUGCUGCCGUAGCUGUAUUGCUUGUCAACUCCAAUAUCUAAAGCUCUUCCUUGCAGAUAUCCCCUGUUCUUUUUGUGUAUUCUACAUGUAUUAGCGAGCUUUCUGAGUCACUUUUAAUCGAAUUUGGUCACUUGUACAGUUGAGAGGAGAUAGAUUGCUUAAAGGAAGAACCGUUUUGUCACACCUUGAAGACGAAUAUGUGGCUUGCAUACAAUUUAUGAUGACAUGUUUUUUCUUCAGAAAAUUUGAAGGAAAUUGAGUUACUUCA